ACAAGUUAAUUACUAUGCAAGCAAGCAAUCAAUGCUUUGCCAUGCAAUUAAUGGGUAGUGGACACGAAGCAUAUGGAAGCAUGAUUACAAGUAACAAGGUAUAUAUAUGUAUUUGCAUUGCACGUACAUGACAGAAGAUCAAUUAAGGAAAUGUCAUCCUUAAGGAAAUGACAUAUAUUUUACGUGCAUAUCCAACAACUCGCGACCAAGAGGAAGAUUACGUUCAGGACUGUAAGAGGCAAUUAACUCUUGCCUAUAUUCUAGCGACACUACUAAAAACAAUUGCAUUUGCUUCGGAAAUUUGCGACGGCAUUGAUUUCCGUAGCAAUUGAGACUCUAUUGCUACGGAAAAUGUUCCGUCGCAAUUAAGUCUUAUCAUUUGCGACGGAAAAUCUUUGCCGUAGUAACUUUGUAAUCAAUUGCUACGCCUUUUCCUCUUGCCGUCGCAUAACUUAUUUCUAUUUCCCCGCUAACAUCUCGAUCUGUAGCCUUAAUUAACCCAAGCUCUCUCUGUCUCUCUUCUCGCCCAAGCGCUUUCUCUCUCUCUCUCUCUCUCUUCUCGCCCAAGCUCACCCAAGCUCUCUCUCUCUCUCUUCAGAACUUGGGUUUCUGUCUUCGUCCAAACUCAGGUCCAAGGGCCUGAGGAUCCACGACAACCCUGCUCUCGAGCAUGCCUCCAAGGCCUCCAAUUUCCUCUACCCGGUCUUCUUCAUCGAUCAACACUGCAUGAAUCCCGACCCGAACGCACCCUCGGCCGGGUCCUCCAAGGCCGGCCUGAACCGAAUCUGGCGCUUAUUAGAGUCAAGGGAAGAAUUUGCGGAUCUUAGAGCCAAGGGUUGCGAGCUUCUGGCAUCAGCUUUGUUUCACAACUGGAAAUCACUGAGCAAGAGGAAAAAAAUCAAACAAUAGCUUCAUCUGUUCACUGUCAAAGAUAAAUGAAGCUACAGCUUCAACACCAAAACCAUCAAUUAAGAAUCUGCAACAAAGAAAAUAGUGAUGUCUAACCCCAGGAAGGCAUUUGGAUGGGCUGCAAGAGAUUCAUCUGGUGUUCUCUCUCCCUUCAGUUUCUCCAGAAGAGCUUGCAUGGAAAGGCAGCUUCAUAAUAAAUAUAUUUUGUGCACAAACAGUAAAGGGUAGAAGAAACUGUUUCAUAUAUUUUUCCCUUCUUAAAGGUAACGAGUGUUGGAAUCAAUACUGAAUGGGGAUUGUUGAUGGCAAGUAUAUCUCUGAGGAUACCUAUAAAGAAACUCUUCUACAGAUUUGUGUUCUUUCCAAUUUCUGACCUGAAACUGUUGAGGAUGCUAGCUAAUGAAGGUCCUGCAGAGUUGUGUUCCUUGCAAUCUCUGACCUGAAAUUGUUGAGGAAGCUAGCAAAUGAAGGCGUUACAGUGUUGGGGUUGCCUUGACUAGUCUUUGUUUUUUUUUUUUUUUUUGGAUUUGUGAUUUUUGGUUGGUGUAAGAAUGAUAGAUAUUGUAUUUUGAUAUUUGUCAAUUUAUAAUAUUUGUGGAACAUGGUACUUGC